ACAGGGUUUCGGGGAGACCUCGAACGAGGCCUUGAACUGACGCCUCUGCGCUGAGGUGAGGAUGGUCCGGGGCCGUUUCGGACCUCGACGACCAUCGCGGGGCCGACUUUCGUCCAGCAGGUCAUAGUCUGUCGAGCAAUGAAUCGUUAAGCACUCUGAAACAUCGUCGGAGUUAGUCGAACGUCGACGAGCUCUGGCGAAAAUCAGACAUGUUUCCAUUCAAUCAAAUUCGAGGAUGUUGCUGAUCCUCGCAACGAUCACUGUAACUUCCGAAUAGCAAGCCCGAACACGUUAAGCUCGAGAAACGAGACGAACUAGGAGGACAAAAGAGACAAUCGCCAGCUCCAAGAACAAUCCAAGUAGACAGACGAGUAAGUGAAUUUAGGGGAGAAUAUUUCGCCGACCGUUGAACCCAAGAGAUCUUGUUGAAUAGAAACUGUUUGACCGAGUCUGCACGGAGUCCUGACUAACAAACUGCUCUUCUAUGAUCUAACGUCAAAGAGAAAAUGGAAACCCACGAACGCAGUAUCUCGACUCUUUAUAGUUCCCUUCGCAGAUUGGCGUACAAAGUAAUCGACUCUCGGACCGCAUCUAAUUACGGUUGGUUUAAGUGUAGUUACCUUGAAAAGAGACAGCCUCGAUAUGAAAUUCCUGUAGGUAUUUACAUUGGAUGUCUUUAGAUUGUAGUAGUACAACCUGCGAACAAUGCAACAAGGUAUGUACAAUACGUUCUCGCACGUGGGUCGUUUAUUUUCUUAAUAAAUGUUCCGUUUCAGCGUGAACCGAAGGAGCCUGAUCGCGUCGCGGUAAAGAAAACGAACUUCAAGCUAGAACGGUCUUUCGUUAAUCAUCUCGCACGGAUCGCCAAUCUUCCUUCGAGACAACGCAACGAUAAAGGAACGACGAUGGUCGAGCAGUUUGCUGUCGAAGCUCUGAGUGCUAAGGAUUAAUUCUUGUCUACCUAACAAUUUACGGAAACGCGGGUCUAGAAGGGUCAACAAAAAUAGUUCUCCAAGCGUUCGACAAAUUUGUCCUUCGAAUUGAAGUAUCGGGGCUCGAGGAAACGAUAAGCUGAAAUGAACGAAACAAGGGACAAAGCACAGCAACAGAGAGAAAUAUCCAAAACACACAUAUUGAAACGAUAGACGAAACAAAAGCAGAUAACUAGAAGCUCCAACAUAAAAGCAACCGAGGAAAAGAAAAUCUUAAGCUUCAAGAUGCAAUUAGUCCAUUGGCUAUGACUCGACACAACGAAAGCAAGCAGUGGUUAAAGGAGAGUAUAUUUCAAGCUGCACGAUACAAAACAUA